rnacentral:rRNA from 1 species
GGUUAAGCGACUAAGCGUACACGGUGGAUGCCCUGGCAGUCAGAGGCGAUGAAGGACGUGCUAAUCUGCGAUAAGCGUCGGUAAGGUGAUAUGAACCGUUAUAACCGGCGAUUUCCGAAUGGGGAAACCCAGUGUGUUUCGACACACUAUCAUUAACUGAAUCCAUAGGUUAAUGAGGCGAACCGGGGGAACUGAAACAUCUAAGUACCCCGAGGAAAAGAAAUCAACCGAGA